rnacentral:rRNA from 1 species
AUGAACGCUGGCGGCGUGCCUAAUACAUGCCAGUCGAGCGAACAGAUAAGGAGCUUGCUCCUUUGACGUUAGCGGCGGACGGGUGAGUAACACGUGGGUAACCUACCUAUAAGACUGGGAUAACUUCGGGAAACCGGAGCUAAUACCGGAUAACAUUUGGAACCGCAUGGUUCUAAAGUGAAAGAUGGUUUUGCUAUCACUUAUAGAUGGACCCGCGCCGUAUUAGCUAGUUGGUAAGGUAACGGCUUACCAAGGCGACGAUACGUAGCCGACCUGAGAGGGUGAUCGGCCACACUGGAACUGAGACACGGUCCAGACUCCUACGAGAGGCAGCAGUAGGGAAUCUUCCGCAAUGGGCGAAAGCCUGACGGAGCAACGCCGCGUGAGUGAUGAAGGGGUUCGGCUCGUAAAACUCUGUUAUUAGGGAAGAACAAACGUGUAAGUAACUGUGCACGUCUUGACGGUACCUAAUCAGAAAGCCACGGCUAACUACGUG